rnacentral:rRNA from 1 species
GCAGUCGAACGAUGAAGCCGCUUCGGUGGUGGAUUAGUGGCGAACGGGUGAGUAACACGUGGGCAAUCUGCCCUUCACUCUGGGACAAGCCCUGGAAACGGGGUCUAAUACCGGAUAACACUCUGUCCCGCAUGGGACGGGGUUAAAAGCUCCGGCGGUGAAGGAUGAGCCCGCGGCCUAUCAGCUUGUUGGUGGGGUAAUGGCCUACCAAGGCGACGACGGGUAGCCGGCCUGAGAGGGCGACCGGCCACACUGGGACUGAGACACGGCCCAGACUCCUACGGGAGGCAGCAGUGGGGAAUAUUGCACAAUGGGCGAAAGCCUGAUGCAGCGACGCCGCGUGAGGGAUGACGGCCUUCGGGUUGUAAACCUCUUUCAGCAGGGAAGAAGCGAAAGUGACGGUACCUGCAGAAGAAGCGCCGGCUAACUACGUGCCAGCAGCCGCGGUAAUACGUAGGGCGCAAGCGUUGUCCGGAAUUAUUGGGCGUAAAGAGCUCGUAGGCGGCUUGUCACGUCGGAUGUGAAAGCCCGGGGCUUAACCCCGGGUCUGCAUUCGAUACGGGCUAGCUAGAGUGUGGUAGGGGAGAUCGGAAUUCCUGGUGUAGCGGUGAAAUGCGCAGAUAUCAGGAGGAACACCGGUGGCGAAGGCGGAUCUCUGGGCCAUUACUGACGCUGAGGAGCGAAAGCGUGGGGAGCGAACAGGAUUAGAUACCCUGGUAGUCCACGCCGUAAACGUUGGGAACUAGGUGUUGGCGACAUUCCACGUCGUCGGUGCCGCAGC